GGGGAGCUGAGGGCUGGAGCUGGUUCAGGGCCGGCGAAGGAUCUGGAGUUGGGGAAAGUCUCCCUGCCACCCAAACUCCAAGGACCAGUCAAGCGGGGUCAAGUCUGCGAUCACGAGUUCCCAUUCGGCGGCGGGAAGCCGGGAGCCCCCGAUCCAUCCUCCAGAACCCAGCCCCCCUUCCACAAAGUGGGGGCGUCUGGAGAACGCUGUCUCCCGGCUGGACUCCACCGCGCAGAAGUUGGGGACUCCCCAGGCCGCCUCCCAGACCCGGCCCCCCCUCACCUCCGCCGCGCUGCUCCAUGCUCAGCCCUAGGCCGCCCCCAGCGCUCCACAGGCGCGCCGCCCGGCUCCGGCUCCGGCCCCGGCCCCGGCCCGCGUACCGCCACUCGGAGCCGCCCGGCCCGGCCCCGCCUCCGCGGCUCCCCCGGCCCUGGCCAGCCCCCGCCCAGUGCGAGUGGGCGGCGCCGCGCGGGGGAGGGUCCGAGGGGCGUCUCCGCCCCGGGACGCGGACACGCGCAGGCACCCGCGUCACGCGAAUCCGCCGGGGCGCACUUAGGGGCUGCUCGGCGGCAGUCGGGAGCCCUGCCUCCGACGCCCUGUGACUGCGUGUCCGGCGGCUCGGUUAGGCUCGACGCGGCGGCGGCGGUGGUCACCCUCCGCCCCAGCCAGGGCCCCGGGGCCAGCGGCAGCUGGUCAUUGUUCCAGCACAAAGGGCCACGGCACGGCGGCGGCCGCCCCUCCCCCUCUGCUUCUCCAAGCGAAGCUUCCUUGACACGCUCUCAGCCUCAGAGUCCCAAGCGAGAGAGGUCGACGACCGGCCGUCCCCCACUCUCCGGUGCCGGGGCCCCGCGCCCUAGCGCGAGUCGGAGGCCGAGGCUGGGUCCGCACCUGCCCCACCAGGGGCGGGUUGGAGGCGGCAACCUGGGCUUCGCAGAGGCGGCGCCACCUGGCGGCCCGCUCGGAGAACACACCCAGCCGCCCCCCCACCACGCGGGCCCUGCCCCACUCCCCGGCACGGUGCCCUUUUCCCCGCGAACCCAGGCCGGCCUCUGGCGCGGCCCCGUGCUCCCCAGCCUCCCCUCGGGACCGCUUGCUAAGACAGAGGUCAUUUCUCGGAGAGGAGCGGCCCCUGGCUCCCCAACAAUCACUGGGGCAAACCGGUCCAAGCCUACAGCCCAAACCUACACGAGCCGCACGGCAGACAACAUUCCACUUUCUCAAGGUCGCAAAUAUUCUCACCUUCUCGCACACAAUACAGUCUCCCUAACACCCACGCGACCUUUCCCACAUGCAGCCUCACCACGCAGCCACAAGCAGUCUCAGCUGUCACGUGGGUCCGCGUUCCUUCUUUCCAUAAUCUUCCAGUCCAACUCACACACAGACACGGUGUCACAGGCCUGUUGGGCACAGGCUUCCACAACAAUCCGCAGUCCUUCGCACCCAGUCACUGUCUCAAAUGCACUUAGUCUCCUAACCAUCUUUCACGCAUUGACAGCCUCUAUUCACAGUCACUCACACAGACAACUUCUUACAGCCAUGCUUCACAAAUAUUCUACCGCACAGCCUUUCCCCUAG
ensembl:lncRNA